UUUUUUUUUUUUUUUUGUCUGAAUUUGUUUUCUCGUUGGGAAAAGUGGUCAUUAAAGUAUUAGUUUAGGUUGAUUGGUUCUUCAGCGGCAGAAGAGGCUUCUGAUGCUUUGUUAUCUUUGACAUGAUCUCAAAACAGUGGCCUGAUUAUUAUACAAUAUAGAAAUAAUAACUUGAGGCAGCAGCUUCUUUUUGGAAGCCCACGCGGGGGUGCUGGUAUUUUCAUGGGUGCUGAUGGGGCCUGAGUGCCUGGCCGGAUCCCUGGAUGUGAUGCAGAACUUCCCCUCCCUGCUCUGGCCACCAAGCCCCCCUCCCACGGACCUGAAUUCUCCCCCUGUCGUUGAGGCUGCUGAGCACUUGUCUCCUUUAUAUCAACCAGUGGCGCAUUCACUAAGAAGAAUGGGAACAGGGAGAGGGCUGGCUUUGAUGUUUCCAGGGGCAGGAAAUCACCCGGAGCAUUCUUCCAGGGCCACUUGGCAGCAGGUAGAGGGUGUGACAGCUGGUGGGAAGGUCGGCAACUGGGAUGUGGCCGCUGAACCGUAGCCGGGAAUUAUGCGGCCCUUGCAAACGGAAAAGUUUAUUCCUAUAGUCUGGUGGGGGGUAGGGGUGAGGGAGAAAGAUCAGAGGGCCCGGCACAUACCACCUGGGAAAAAGAGAAUUCAAAGUUAUCAAAUAACAUGUCGGAAGCUUUCAUUACUUUUCAAGACCAGUUGGCCCAAGAUGUCAAGUCCAAUCUAAAGAGAAGGCGUGAUUGUCAAUACUCAACAGGUGGGAUUGCAUGGGGGUUAAUCCAUGGGCCUCAACUCUGGACUUGAAGCAUCUCUUUGCCCAUCUGUUAAGAUAGUCUGUAACGAGUUUAUUGUGAGAAAUUAUUACAUACUCACCACGUGCCAAACACUAUGCAUAGCACUUGACAUGCGUUAUCUUAUUUCCUAGUCACAACGCCAUGGCAUGUUUAUUAUUAAAUGCCCCCCUUUCUCAUAAGGAAAUGGGUGUAAAGAGUUGAAGUAAGUGAUCCAGAGUCAUGCAGCUGGUAAGGAAGCCAAGAUUCAAAUCCAGUCAGUCCAAACUCUAGAGCACUGUUAGCCAUCACUUAGGAAUUAAAUCAAAUAAUACAGGAGUUCCUGUUGUGGCGCAGUGGUUAAUGGAUCCGACUAGGAACCAUGAGGUUGCAGGUUUGAUCCCUGGCCUUGCUCAGUGGGUUAAGGAUCCAGCGUUGCCGUGAGCUGUGGUGUAGGUUGCAGAUGCGGCUCGGAUCCCACGUUGCUGUGGCUGUGGUGUAGGCCGGCGGAUACAGCUCCAAUUAGACCCCUAGUCUGGGAACCUCCAUAUGCCUCAAGAGUUGCCCAAGAAAUGGCAAAAAGACCAAAAAAAAAAAAAAAUCGAAUUAAUACAUAAAUUGAUUCUGGUCCGAGACACUCAGCAAGAAUACGGAUCAUUCAUUUUACUUUGCCAACACUAUUAUUAAACUCCCCCGGUUGCUUUGUCCAAAUGGAAAAAAAAGUAUGUGACCAUACCUCAAGAAAUGAAAGGGCUUUAUGAAAGCAAACAGAUAAAAGGACAUUAUGAUCCUUGGAGCCGACACACAGGAAAAUCAGCAACAUUUCUUGAUUUGCAAAUUCCAUGGACUCCCCCAGGGAAUAAAGGGAAUGAAGGGUCAUGGGAAUGGGGGCUCAUUUCUAGAGGGAGCUCAGCCAUGAGGUCUGGAGGAAAGACACUGGCGUCACCUGCGCCUUAGCUGCAUGGAGCUGGGGAUGUGGGUGACCAUCAAGAGGGGGGACGGGGUGCUGACAGACAAUCCCGUGAGCUAAGGGAAGCCGCCUGGGCACAUGCUCGCCGCCGUACAUGCUCACAGGCACUCAAGCUUCCCCCACUCCUCUCUGAAGCCCCCAAGGAAUCAAGUGUCACUGCCAUCUGCAAAUUCUUAGGGAGAUUCAGAGGCUUAAUUAAAAACCCUCCUUCAUUUGCUUAUUGGAUUAGUAUUUACUGAGAACCUUCUAUGUGUUGAGCACAGCCAGGCACGCAGCAAAUGAAACCGGCUGACUAGGUCCCUGACGUGUAAUAGAGUAAGCGAUCUAGACUGAAGGUGGGGAGCUAGGUUGUCACGAGUGCUGCAGGAGGGCUGGGCAGGCCAGGGGUGACCUGGUCUGAUUGAAGGAAGGGAGAGGUGGGCUGGGAGGGAGUGGGACCCUGGAAGUCUCUUCAGAGGAGAUGCCGGGUGGUCCUAUCAGCAAAGUUCUUCAAACUGAAUUUGGUUCUGCUGUGUGUAUGGUAGAAAACUCUGGAACACAGUGCUGUCUCCGAUGCUACAGAGGACACACACAAAAAGAAGGAAGAAACAGUAUCCUUCACCCUUGAGAGCUUAAAAUAUGACAGCAAAUCCAAAGAAGCGUCAACAAAAUAAUGAGAUGGACAAAGCAACACAACCACGACUCUGGCUUUAUAACUUCGUACAACUCCGUGACUUUUCAAACACCCGGAAGCAACUAAGAGUGGGUAUUGAUUGUUGAGCAAUGUGUGAUGGCCGUGGACUCCUGGGAGACUGGGGAACAUUACUGAAUGUGUCCACUUAGGGCACACCUACCAAGAGCACCGGGGUCAAGAGCCAUUGUUCUCCACUACAAACCAGCUCCACCAUCAGCUGUUUGCACUUGGGCACGCCUCCUGGCCUCUCAGAGACCACACUGCCUCACUGCAAAAUGGAGAUAGAAUGACACCUAUUUCUAGGCUUGAGAUGAGGAUGAAAUGGGAUAAAGCAAGAAAAUGCUGGGACCAAAGUCCGCUAAGAGUAAGCUCUCAGUGGUGAUAGUGAACUUAUGGAAUGUUGAUUAUUUACAACUGUUUAUUUUUCAAUAAAUGUAUAUAAUAAAAAUUAAUAUUACUCACAAGCUGGGUGCCAAGGCAACUCUUGCUGUGUUCCAGUCAUUAUUCUAGCCACAUGGUGUGUUUUGACUCAUUUGAUCCCUACAACAAUACUAUCAGAGAGAUAUUAUUACCCUCCUUUUACAGAUAAGGAAACAAGCACAGAGAGGUUAAAUAAUUUACUCAAGGUCACACAGCAGAGCCAGGAUUCAAACCCAGGCACUUUGGUUUAGCCUGCACUCCUAACCAGUCUGCAAUGCUGCUUCAUAUCAUCAUGAAUAAGAUAUAGUCCUUGAGAAGAAAAUUUUAAAGUAAGCUGGCUUAUGAUAAGACUCAGGAGAGAGGAGAUGGGAUUAAGAUGGCAGAAUAGAAGGACUGGAGCUCAACUUCUCUUCUAAAAACAACAAAAAUUCACAACUAAAGAGUGAGCAGUCUCCACCCAAAUGGACCUGAAACCCCAUACCCUACUCCAGAAGAAAAAGAGGAGGCCACAUCAAGAGGUAGGAGGGGUGAUUUCGUGAUAUAAACAACCCCAUGCCUCCUGGGUGGGAAGCUCCACAGACUGAAAACUAACUGGCUCACGGAGACUCACCUACAGGAGUCAGAGUUCUGAGCCCCACAUCAAACUCUCACAUGCUGGGAUCUGGCACUGGGAGAAAGAGCCCCUGGAGUAUCUGGCAUUGAAGGCCAGUGGGGCUUGUGUGCAGGAGCUCCACAGGACUGGGGGAAAUGGAGACCCCAUUCUUAAAAGGCGCACACAGACUUUCACGUGCACUGAGUCCCAGGGGCAAAGCAAAGUCUCCAUGGGAAUCUGGGUCAAACCUGACCGCAGUUCUUGGAGGACAUCCUGGGAAAACAGGGGUGAAUGUGGCUUGUUGUGAGGGAAGGACAUUAAAGGCAAAGCUCUCAGGAAUAUUCAGCAGUUGCCUUUCUCUGGAGGUGGCCAUUUUGGGAAAAUCUGGCCCUACCCAUCAGCCAGCUGCUGAGAAGCCCCAGGGCAAACAACAAUCCAGGUGGGAUCACAGCCACACCCCUCAGUAAACAGGCUACCUAAAGACACCUCAGGCACACAGCUACCUCUAAUCCCAUCCAGAGACUAAGCCCCACCCACCAGAGGGAUUAGAAUCAACUCAUCCUACCAGGGGGCAGGCAUCAGCCC
rnacentral:lncRNA from 1 species